rnacentral:lncRNA from 1 species
CACUGGCCUGGGGCUUCAUCCCAAGUUACCUACAGUUCCGCACUCCCUUCGGAACCUGCUAGUGAUUACGACCGAAAGCGGAAAAGAAAUCCCGGUGGAGGCUCCGUUGGCUUCUCCAGGAAUGAUAAAGAUGCCUUCCCGGUGGGAAGAUCGGAACCCUCCCUUGCAAUCUGCUGAAGGCCAUGGUGAGCAUCCUUAUCCUUUUGGACAGACCAGGAAGGGCCCGGCCAUCCCCACUUCCAGGCUGGACUCCUCAGAGGUGCAGUUUGACACUCUCUGAAGCGGAUUCUAAGUUCCGAGUCGGCCGAGCCUGGGCAGUACUACACCGCGCGGUACAAGUGCAGCCUGGCACACUCGUUCCACACCCGGCUCCUCGCCAGCAAGCCCAUUCUCAGGUAAGAAUUUUAAGUACUUUAAGAAAUUUUUCUAAAUAGACUCUCUAAUUAAGGGAUUGACACACUUAUUCUGUAAGGAGCCAAAUAGCAAAUAUUUUAGGAUUUGGAGACCAGAAGCUGCCUCUGUCACAGAUUCGUCUUUGUCAGUUUUAGUAAGCUUGUAAAAUGAGAGGGGAAAAAAAAGAAAAAAAAAAAAAAAAACUCAGCAGACAGUGAUUAGAGGCUAGUCAUGCACUGCCUGGCUCAGAGGCUGAGAACUCAGUGAGUUCCCCACCACUGCUGGUCUGACUUGCUCGCCUUUAACGACCUGGGUUCUGUGAGGAUUGUGCUCCCCCCGCCCCCCACGUUGUGCUUGGGCAUCACCCCUAGGCUUAGUUCACCAUCUCUUAAAUCCUACACUUGUGCUCCGCCUUUUCUCCUGGAGGCAGAUGGUGAGUUCCUGGUAUUCAUCAAGGCCACCAGGAACCCCUGCUCCACCACCCGCCCCCUGCAGUGUGCAUGAACUACACACACACAAAUACACACUGGCAGCCAGAUCAUUCUUUGCUCUGAAGUGACAGUUACUUCUCAUCUAAGAGCAAAAACCAAAGCCCCUACAUUUCGAGUAAACUUGUUUAGUGGAAAACGAAUUCAAGAAAUCUCAAACUACUUAUUUUAAUAGCUUUUUUCCCCUAGUAAAAAAUUUAAUAUAUGUCCACUAUGGUAAUUUAGAAAAUAAUGAAAAGAAUAUAGACAAAAAUUCUCCACAAACCUAAUCCAUAUAAAAUAACUUAAAAUAUUUAUGUAUUCUUUUAGUCCUUUUUUUCAUCACAAACUGAUAGGAAACUUACAGAACAGCUAGACUUUUUUUUAAUCUUAAACUUUUGUUUAAGUACAACAUAGAAAAAAGUGCACAAAUUGUAAAUAUAGUUCAGUAAGCUUUAAAACUAAUACAAACAUACCCUGGCAAUCACAAUCUAGAUCAAGAAAUAAACUGUUAGAAGCAUCCUUUGUGCCCUUGUCCAGUCACAGAGUUCUCCCCAAAUAUACGCACUACCUUAUCCUUAGAUAUAUGGGUAAGUUUUGUUAUGUUCUUGAAUUUUACAUGAAAUUAUUUAUUCAAUAAGUAUUCUAUAGUGUUUGGUUUCUUUCACUCCAUGUUAUAUUUGAGUUUGUGCAUGUUUAAUGUAACAGCUCUUUUUAAAUUUUUUAAUUGUUUAUAUGCUAAUAUGGUAUUUAGUUGUAUGAAUAUGCAGAAUUUAUCCUCUAUAUAUCUGUUGUUUUCUUAAUGACUUUAUUAUAAUAGAAUUCACAUGCCAUACAAUUAAUACAUUUGAAGUAUAGAAUUCAGUAUGGUUUUUUUAGUAUAUUCACAGAUGAAUGUAACCAUUACCCACACUCAAAUUUUAGAAAAUGUUUAUCACCUGAAAUGAGCACUAGGGCAUAUUAAAGUCACAUAGAAUGUGGGAAAAUAUCUCAUUAGAUGGAACUGUCCUUAGCAUAACUGUCAAUUUAGCAUAAAUGCUGUCUACUAAAGACCAGUAGUACCAUCCCAAUCUAAUGUCAAAAUGUCUUCACAGUUUUUCAGAACAUCCCUACAGUGAACAAUAUGGGCCUACAUGCAUUGAGAAUCUUUGUCACAUGAUCUGCCACUGUUUCCUAUGCUUAUGUCUCAAACCAUACAGAUCUCUCUCCAACUCAGGGAUUUGGGGAUUGCUUUUACUUCUUAUAGAAUGUUCCUCCCCUAAAUAUUCUGUACUGACUCUUUUCCUCAGGUCUUUGUUCAAAUGUCAUUAUCUCUGUUAGACCUAUAUAUUCAAUAAGCAAGCAAAAAGCUUGCACAUUCUCUCCCAUAUACAUUAUUUUGCUGGUGCUGCCAGAGCUAAUGGACUGAUUGACUUAAACAACAAAGUUGUAUUUUCUCAGUUGUGGAGACUGAAGUCCAUGAUCAAGGUGUUGGUAGGUUUGGUUUCUCCUGAGGCUUCUUGCCUUGACUUGUAGUUGGCCACCUGUAGUUAUAUCCUCCUGUGGUUUUUCUUCUGUGCUUAUAGCAAAUUUCCUCUUGUAAGGACACUAGUUAGAUUAUGUUAGAGCCCCACCUUAAGCCCCCAUUCUAACUUAAUUACCACCUUAAAAUCCUUAUGUGCAAAUAUACUUACAUUAUAAGAAACAUGAAUUUUGUGGAAAGAAUAUGAUUCAGUCAUACUAUCAUCCAUAGUUUAUUUUUACCUAUACCCCUUAUUUUAAGUGCAAUGUUUUAAUUAUUUAAUUUGUUUAUUGUCUCACCUUCUGUUCUACUAAAAUAUACUUUCCAUAAGGGAGGGAUUUUAAUCAAUUUUCUUCUCUGUAGUGUCUCCAAUGAGUAAGAAAUUGUAAUUUUACUCAAAGCUAACAUAUGGACAACCUUAAAUUUACUCCUAAUAACUCUGUAUCUCUCAGGGCAUUUUUUAGACCUAUUAGAAGUCCAGUAAGGCAUGCUUUUUUAAGUUAUGUUUGAGUUUCUUAGCAAAGAGGAUUAGAAUCGUAAAAGAUCCAGCUUUAUACCAAGGAGUAUAAGAAAUGUAAUAGGUUUGUUUCCAAAGCAACAAAAAGGUUUACCUGAUAAGUUGACUGAGGGUUCUUCCAUAAUACAUAUGAGUAUUCAAGUUGCUGAGGACCCUUUCACACAGAAAAAUGCUUAGAGCCAUCAUCAAAGAAAUCCGCCUAUUAUAAGCUAGUUUUUAACCACCUUUUUUUUUUCUUUACGUGGUCAGGCUCAAGAAGUAUGAUGAGCUUUCAAAAAGAAAAAGAGAUGGAAAUCACCAACUAUGCUGCCUACUGAAUGAAUAUUUCUUUGUAGCAUGUGCAGAGUCAAGGAAAAUUAUAUUCCUGCAUUGUAUAAUCUACCAACAGUCUACUUUCCUACUGUUUCAAUCUAGGAUAUUCUUUAAAAAGCAGAGCCUGAGACAUAGGUAAAGACAUUCUGUUUGGAAUUUGAUCCCAGGGAGAAGGAGUGAAAGAGAAAUGAAGAGGGAGAAAUGGAAAAGAUCAAAGCAAAACAAGGUAGUGUUUUCAAGUGGUACACUACUGUGAAUGGUUGCAUAAUAUAUAACCUUCUCAAGAAUCUUUGUUUCAGAGCUAUAUUCCUGAGGGAUGAAAGGGAGAAAUAUUUUUAUGUCAGCAGCCAUCUGCUUUGUGUUGACAGCUGCAGUGAGUCCCCGUCACAAGGUGCCUCUCUGGUAUAGGACAUCACACCUUGCUGCAACAGAGAAGCUUUGGGACAGGAGGCUUGAUUCUUCGUGCAUGCUUGACAUAUGGCACUGUCAGCAUGAAGCAGGGUAAAACUUCCUAGACUAUUCACCAGAGCUGCAGCUGGAAUCAGGUUAAAAGACUUGAGAGUACAGAAGAGGCAUUUUAUAAGCCUGCAUAACACACGGUUAGACCUGUCUAAAUUGGUUUCCUCCCUUUUUACUAUAAUCAUAAUAUCCAGAACAAGUUGAUAGAAGGGUUAAAUAGGAAGGUUAUAUGUUUAUACCAGUUUUAACCUCAAGUUUAACCUCAAGUUUAUAAGAAAGAGAAAGUGACAGUGGAACUUGGAAAACUGAAAAUGAUUCUACUUGAAAAAUUUUGACCAUUGGAAAGAGAUAUUAGAUACUGUCUAAACUUCUGUCAUAUCAGAAAUAGUCAUGAAUUGUUUCGAGAAAAAUGAAGAAUAAAAUUAACCAUUUCAUGUAUCUCCAUGAGCUUUAUAAAUCAAUGUUAUUAACUUUUCACAGGAUACUACUUUCUACAGUCAUACAACACUAGUAUUACAAAGCUUACAACUAAUGAAAAGAAACAGGCAGAAACAUAAGAAGAAAAAUAAUUGGGAUCACAUAUAGGGUUGUCAUUAAUGUUGGUUGGAUUCUGGGGAACUGCAUGAUUUCGCUUGGCUUUCUUCUGUGAGUAUUAUCUACUUUUAUUUCGUUUGGAAUUUUCAUUAAUAGAGUGUAGUAUUUGAGUUAUUCAACUCAAUAUGUGUCGAGCUCCUGUUUAUUAGCACUUUAAACAUGCGAACAAGACGUAGAGCAUUACAUCCCAAAACAUUAGAAUUUCUGUUUUGUUUUUUUUUUAAGGUAUACUUUAGAAUAUUUAUUUACCAACACUGACCAUAGGCUGGAUCACAAGUCUCAACAAACUUCAAAAGAUUGAAUCAUACUUAGUAUGAAUUAAACCAGAAGUUUAUUACAUAAAGAUAACAAAAAAAUUCCAGAUGUUUGUAAGUUAGGAGCAUAAGCCUAGUUACCAAUGGGUCAAACAGUAAAUCACAACAGAAUUUAGAAAAUAUUUCAAAAUGAGUUCUAAUGAAAAAACACCAUCAAAACCAAAUUCUAUGAAAGCAAAUGCUUACAGCUCUAAAUUCACACAUAAGAAAUUGUAUAAAAAUCUUGACUAUUGCUGUUUCAAAAAGCCAGAGCAGUGGGGAGCAAGUGAAGGGAGAGAAGUAGACAGACAUUGGACACCUGGUAGCAAAGGACUGAUAAUUCAGAGAACAACACAAGGCAAAACCUACAGUGGCUUUGAUUUUCUGCAGAUGAGCACUCUGGAGCAAUUCAGGAGAAGGAACAUAAGCAGAGCAUUCUUGCUGAGUUGAGAAAAAGAUGAGUUGAAACUGGAAUGGUUUGAAUUUUCAGGGUAGGGAUUAAGUGAAGCGGAAGGUAUGCAGAGAAAAAACUGCACAAAACAUACAUAGAGAUCCUCUUGUGCCCAUUGCUGAACAUUAAGCCUAACCAUACUCAAAGUUAACAUUAGACUUGGAAACAUUUAAUUUCCAUCUAGUUAUAGUGGAGAGUCCUCCCUGAGAACUCCAGGGAUUUGCCAAAGAUCCCUAAAAGGUUACACAUAAUAUAGAUAGGGCUAACUGUUUUGAAUAAAAACUGCCCCCUCCCCCCAAGAGCAAGUUGAAUAUUAUAAAACCAAUCUUCAAGUAACCACCUGCCUGAACAAAAUCCAAAUUUGUUAGUUGUAGUCCUGCAAGAAGCACAUAUAAAGAUAGAAUUUAAUUUCUAAAAGAUUUGUUUGGGGAAAUUCCUCUGAGGGUUGAAAUGGAGAAGAAUCCAGAAGAGGUAGAAUCUUCAGACCACAUAACUUGUCUGACCUCUGUGAAGGUGCAAGGUUUAACUUUAUGUGUGUCAACAUUAUUGGGUCACAGUAUUAGUAUGCCAAGAUAUCUGGUUAAACAUUAUUUCUGGGGUGUCCAUGAGGGCGUUUCUGGAAGAGAAUGGUAUUUGAACACAUUGAGUAAACAGACUAAUCCCAGGUAUGGGCAGGUAUCAUCCUAUCUGCUGAGGGCCCGAAUAAAACAAAAAGAUGAAGGAAACAUUUUUUCUUUGCCUAUUAGGGUAGGACUCCAUCUUCUGCUCUUGGGCUGGGACUGACAGCCUCAGUGCUCCUGGCUCUCAGCUCUUUAGAGGGCAGAUCAUGGCACUUAGCCUCCAAGAUUACAAGAGCCAGUUCUUUAUGAUAAAUAUCUAUAUUGGUGGGUGAAUGAUUGGAUAGAUACGGAUAGAUCCUAUUGUUUGUUUUUCUGGAGAACCCUGGCUACUAUAGAAGGAAAAGGGAGGAAGGACCAUUAAAUAGUGGGACAUUAUGCUGCAGCACAAUUACAGUUUCAGGUCAGCUAAUGAAAAACACUGAAGCCAAAGUUUCUCAUUGGAGAACUAUUUUAGGGAUAAGCCUGCAUUAAUAUACCUGCUUUCUUAGUCAUUGUUCUGAUGUAGCCUUGGCAAGAAAAUAUCAGUGGGUUCAGAGAGCAGUAGGUGGGACACUCUUUCAUAUAAGCUCCCCUUAGCAAGAGAUCUGACUGGUAAAUUUUCAUGACUCAGUUUAUUCCUUAUUCUGUACAUCUUCAUUUGGGCCUGGCUGCCACUAAGAUGACUAGACACCAAUGUCAACUUGAACCCUAGGCCAAAUAAUCCUAGGAAUGUUUGGAUAUUCUCUUUUGCCAGUGUUAACAUAGUCACUUUAGUAAAUGACCAUGAAUUCAUAUGGGGAAGAACUUGAGGAUUCAUCACUAUACCCCUCCUACACACACACACACACCAUUUCUAACCAGGUCUUUUCCUUUUCCUUGUAGGAAACUAGUACCUCUUCCAUUUGUGGAUUCUUUAUCUGAAAAUUCCCUCAGGUUUUGGAACUGAACAAGGAAUCAUGAUAUUUAAUUGGGGUAGUAUCCUCAAACUCUUCCUUUUCCAUAUUCACCUUAUUUGGUUAUAGAUAUUUGGUUAUAAAUAUUAAGCAACAUCCUUGUUACUUGCUUGUGUGUUCUGCCUGUAGGGGUGAUACCUUCAAUUAAUCAUCUCACAAACAUGCUGUGAGUCAAGCCCACUUAACUACCCCUCCAAUUUCAUUAGUUGUUAGAUGAAUUAUGGCCUUUUUGCUUGUGGUAUUAAGUUCCAGUCUUUGGGGACCUCUAUUACUUCAGUGUCCAUUACCCCUGAAUGAUAUUAAUAAGCCAAGCUCUGACUGCCUCAUCAUCAGCCCUGUCUAAAAAGAAGAGCCAUCCACUUAUCUUAAUGAUACUGGACCUUCACACAGGUACAUUGUUGGUGGUCUUAGUGAAUUGUGUCUUCUGGGACCCCCCCUUGGAACAAAAUCUUGUGUGUUUUCUAGCCUCAUAUUAUCCAUUUCAGGAUGACUAUUUCUCUCAGCCUCUUUAUUCCUUAUCCUGCCCUUUACCAGAUCAGUGUGGACAUUUCAGUGUUGACCAUCUCUACUUUUAGGCUGCAUUAGUGGAUUUGCCCUAUCCCCUGGGGUUCUUUCUAGGAUGCUAUCUUAAUCCAUUGGUGUGGCUACAACAAAUUAUCUGAGACUAGGUAAUUGAUAAAGAACAGAAAUUGAUUUCUCCCAUUUCAGGAGGUUAGAAAUUCAAGGUCAAAGUACCAGUGUUCAGAGGGGCAAACUCUGUGUCCUCACAUGACAGAAGGGUUAGAAGGGCAAAGGGGACAUAGCUAGUUCUCUAUAGCUCUUUGAAUGGUUAUGGUCCCAUUCAUGAGGGUUCCAACCUCAUGGCUUAAUCAACUCCUAAGCACACCUCUUCUUAAUACUAUCACAUUGGCAGUAGAGUUUUGACAGUGAAUUUUGAGGGGCAUUCAAGGCUACCACAGAUUUGAAAAUACUAUGUCCUGAUAAAGUUCCUCUAAAUAAACAAAUGCUUGGUUUCCUAGUCUUGUUCUGGCCCCUUAGUUAAAGGAAUGUUAAAAUUCAUUUCUCCACCAACUUCAUGCUGAUUUUAACUAUAAUUAUCUUCCUAGCAGCUAGGAAAGAAUAAAGGCAACUUAGGAGCACAGGCCUACCUAUUGCCUUGCUGAGAAUGGGCCUUUCUGGCAUCUUCCAUGAGAGGAGGAGCAUAACAUUCCACAAAGUGCUGCCCAGACACAUGACUUCAUUGGUAAGCUCUUCCCACAUUUAAACAGGAAAAAAAUAUCAAGCUUAAUGAUUUUUAAACCUAAUAAGAAAACAUAAAACACUUCUCAGCUUAUUAUAGAAGACAAGCAUAACUUUGAUACCCAAAUCUGACAGACACAUUGCAAAAAAGAAAAUUGUAAAUGGAACCAAUGUGCAAGGAUUGGCAAAUGAGACUCAAAAGCUCACAAGAAUAAUGGAUUUUAUUCAUUAUAAGGUUACACUCAUCUUAAGAUUAUGUAAGUCAUGCAGCACACUCAAAGCAGACAGAGGUCUUGAAUAGUGUCCUGGACUCCAAGAUGGUUCCUUCUUGAAUUGGAUAAACUUUUUAGCCAAAAUGUAGUGAUAUGAGCCUCAUGACCAUUCUUAAUAUACAGCAUGUUAGGUUAGGAUGUUUAUCUUUCUCAUAUCCAGGUGUUAAUGUAACUUAUACAAUAUUUUCUUGAGAACCAUGUUUUGUAAGUUUAUAUAGAGUUUGGUUUUCUUUUUCACAAUCAGUCAUAUAUCAGGGAUAUCCUGUGAAAAUGAUUUAUAGAUAAAAUUUUACCUCCUAGUAAUUAAUAUUACAUUAUUUGAAUGAAAUAUAUUAUCAAUAUGUGUACAAGAAGAUUCACCUACAUUGCCUACUUUUUUUCUUUCCUGAAACAUCUCCCAAGAUGUCUCUCAGAGAGAAAUUAAUCAGAGGCUAGCUGAUUAACUCUUUUUCUACUCAGAAGCCAAUAAAGAUCACAAAUCUUGAUGCUCAGAUAUUAAACAAAAUAUUAUCAAAUGAAAUAUGCAAUAAAGAGACUAAUACAUCAUGAAUCUGGUUCAACAUUUGAAAAUUAAUUCACAUAUAACAGAAUAAAUAAGAAAAAAAUAUAAUAACAUCAGUAGAUGCAGAGAAAGCCAAUAAGUCAACAAUCAUUAACAAUACAAAUUAUCAGCAAACUAGAAACGGAAAGGAAGCUUUCUAACCUGAUUAGGUUAAUAAUCUAUUAAAAAUCUACAGAUAGCCAGGCACAGAGGCACAUGCCUAUAAUCAGAGCAACAUAGUAGGCUGUCAGGAGAAUCACAAGUUUGAAGCUAACCUGGACAAUUUAGCAAGACUGUGUCUCAAAAUACAAGUGCCUGGGGGUAUGGCUCAGUGGUAAAAGCACCUAUGGGUGCAUUCCCAAUACCACAAAAAUAAAGGUAAAAUAAGUAAUCUUCCCCCCAACCUCACAUUGAGAUUUAAGAUGAAUAUGUUCACUUUUAGCAACUCCGUUCUGCAUUUCACUUUAUUUCCUAGCCAGGCAAAGAAGAAGUGGGAUAAGAGAAAAAGCAGGAAUUAAUAUUGGGAAAGAAAUAAUGAAAUGUAUCACUGACUACAUGAUUGUGAAUGUAGAAACUCCAAAAUAUUCUCCAAACCAUAAGAAUGAUUGUAUAAAUUUAGCAAGGUCAAAAUAUCAUGUUAUUGCACAUCCUUACAUUGGAUCAACUGAACAAAUUCAAAUAUUUAAUAUUUGCAAUAGUAUCAAAAGCCACAAAUACCUAAGAGUAAACAUUGUAAGAUUUACGGGUUUUCUUCUUUUUUUAUCUUUUAUUGAUUUAAUGUUUUUAAAAUACAUGACAGCAGUGUAAUGUAUUACAAUUCUUAUUACACAUAUAGAGCGCAGUUUUUUGUAUCUCUGUAUAUGUUUGUGUCAAUUUAUGCCUUUUUACAUGUAUUUUGGGUUUUUUUGCAAUACAAUUCUUAAUAAAAAUAUACCACAAUUUUUCUUAUCUAUGUAUAUAAAGUAUGUUGACACCCAAUUCAAGUCUUCAUAUAUGUACUUUGUAUAAUGAUGUCCAUCACAUUCCAACAAACCCAGAAAACAUUAGUGAGACAUUAAAGAAGAUUAAAAUAAAUAGAAGUACAAACAAUGGAUGGAAGACUUAAUAGUUCAAGAUCAAUGUCUUAAAUUUACUUCUGUAUUUGUAGACAGAGUGAAUGUAAUCCAAAUCAAAAUCCCAGGUGACUUUUUUUAAAAGGAAAUCUAUAAC